GGCGACCUUCGCAGAGGCCUCUGGGAAGGGAGCUAAUGCGAUACGGCCGCCGGCGCUGUUGCCGGAGUCCAGGGGCUACAGGGCAGCGCCAGUCCGCCUAAGGGGAGACGGUCAGCAGGGAAAUUACAGUGCGUUUUCCCGCCUCAAAGCCAGAAAAAAAGCAGGGAGGGAAGCUACCAGUGGCGAGGAGAUAGGGUAUCCGAAAAGAGUAGGGACCACUGGUUGGGGAUGGGUAGGAGGGCUUAAGAGCAGGACUAAACUGCAGACGACCAUUAAUGACGUCCCGGGAAGUGGUGUGGUUCUUGUCGCUGCUUCCGGUGUGUUGAUGUCUCGAUUGGUGGUCUUCUGGUCUUCAGGGGCAGGUGUGGGGCGGGCGCUAGGAGAGAAGGCCUGCAAUUGGUGAACGAGAUGCCAGAAAAAAUGGGUUGCCACGGCACUCAUACAUAAAUGGCGCUGCAUUAUUUUUUGGUGGGUUUACUUGGGUCCCUAGUUUCAAAUUCAAGUCCUGGGGGGAUGACUGAAUGGCAUUGAAGAUAGCUGCCACUCCUGCCGUGUUCCGAGGAUUGCAUUAGAGGAUCGGGUGUAGAAAAGGAAUUAGACCUUAUAAAUGUAUCCUUUACUUCCUGCCUGUUGCCAUUAAUCCUGUAAACAGAGAUGUUGAGAGCUCUAGCUAGAGAUACUACACUGAAAAAGUCAGCGACCAGCCCUCCCUGAUGUGAGCCUUUAACAUCUUUUUAGGAGGAAACAGGCAAAACUUUCUUCUCUGUGCACGCCCCCCACCCCACCUUUCCUUCUUGUUUUAGCUCCAAGUGCAGCAGCUAUUUGGAAAGCCGAUAGCACAGAAGAUCCAAACUAGUGGCUUCUAUAGAAAAUCCAGGACCUAUUCGGAUAGUCUUGCUCCUUGCCUGUGAAACCCUGUAUGUAACCUGUAUUUUGAACAGCAGUGCAGCACGCAUGGGUUUCGCUGGUUUGUGUAUUUAAUAGGUACCUGUAACAGUUCUUUGUGGGUUUUUUUUCUAGCCAAUAUAAUCCACCGCAGAAAAUCUGACACCCAUCAGAAAACCUAAGUGAACAUUUAAAAAUCCAAAACUUUUUCUUCAUAAGAAAAUUUAAAGUGUGCCUGUGUUUUGCCUGCAACUACAUCUAUCUGUACAAUAAAUGCAGACAGUGCACAUAGUAGCCAAAAGAGGGUGCUGGAUCCUCUGGGAAUGAAGUUGCAGAUGGUUGUGAGGUGCAGAUGGUUGUGAGAUGCCAUGUGGGUGUUAGGAAUUAAAUCUGAGUGUUCUGGAGACAUCUCUCCAGCCCCACUAAGCAAAUUUAAUACUUUGGAAUCAUCCGACCUGUUGCUCUGAAAAUCCCAGAAACAGUAGUAUAGCAGGUAAUCCAAGGCAGUAGUUUUCAGAUUUCUUUGGGCAUCCCACUCAUCUGGAGGGAUAGUUAAAGUAGAAAUCUGGGUUGAAUCUCUAUAGUUUGAUUUUUUUUAGUUAUUGUGGGUUGAGCUUCAAAUUUAGUGUCCUAACAAUUGCCCGGGACAUGUGAACAACCACUGGCCCUAGGAACAGUGUCAGAGAAGUGGGGUGUUCUACAAGGAACAGACACAAGUAAACUGGAUUUCUGUUCCCAAUUACCAAGUGUGGCUUCUUCUGGGCUGACUCUACAAACUUUCCUCCUCCCUCUCCCAGGAUGCAUUAACAAGAAACAAAACCUUUAUACAUGAUUGUGAAACCUAACUCUGUUUUAACCAAAAAUGGGAAGAGAGACGCUCUUAAAUCUAUCUACACCUUGCUGGUCACAAUGUUACAGUUUACAGAAAAUAUUAAGAUUUGGGAACACAUCCCUGUAGAUAGAGCUAUGGAGUCGUGUUAGAACAGUUGGGAAGUAGGUCUCUCCAAUGUCAGGUAUCAGGGCUGUUGAGAUGGUCCAUUUUCAUUCCUGACCUGACAUUUCCUGUAGGAAUCCUACUUCCUAAGACUCCUUAAUAAAUUAGGAAAGUGGCAAGAAAGUCUAGGCACACCCCCAAAUGGAUUGUUUACAUAUGCCACAGAUAAUAUUUAAUUCACUUUUAUCAAUAGUUUUUCUUGUGUAUUGACAAAUUUUCUGAUUAUAGGCUACAGCAAUGUUAUAUGUAUGAAUGCAAUACAGAAUAAUUAAAAAUUAGCAUAUGUAUCACCCAAAAUGAGAGAUUUACAUUUGUCAUAGUCACAGCAUUGACCUACUUUGUUUGUUUUGAGGCAGGGUUUCUCUAUUAAGUCCUGGCUAUCAUUUUCCUCUAAGCCAAGUCCUUUGCACAUGGAGCAACUUGAUUCUUGAACUGGAAGCUGUUGGGCACCUUGCUACUACCAUGGCUGAGCUAAAAGACAAUCAGUUGGUCCAACUGCCACCUUGCUUAUCCUCAGGCCAGCAGCUAGCAGUUUUGAAGCCAAUAAGGGAAACUUGAGAAGUCUUGCAGCUUCCACAGGGGAUUAUCCCCAGCUGAACCAGCUCCGUCAGUAUUACAGCUUACAGGGAUGGGCAGUAUCCCCAACUCAACUGAAGAGCUCAGCAGCCUGAGUCCAACUCCUUCUCUUUGCUGCUUCUGGACCAAGGAUCACAAAUCAGCUGCCUCUGCUCCCAGAAAAGGAGCCAACAGCCAGGAGCUAAGCAGUUACAGUCAUUAUAUAGGGUUUCUUAGGGGGCAGGGCUUUCUAGGGCAGAGAUUUCCAGGUUGAAGGUUGGUAGGAUUUCAUGUCUUGAGUUGUGGGAGUUCAGGUAUUGGUGGGUUUUCCUGUUUAGGGAUUGGUGACUUUUGUUUAGACUUUCACAUAAAAUUAGAAUAUGGGGUGGGUUCUACUGAGGAGGUGGAGAUAAACUUUGUGAAUGUUACAGACCUGGAAACAACUAUUAUGAGAGUUGAGGUGGUCUCGGGGAGGGACCUGAUUGCUAGAGCUCCUCAAGUGCAUGGACACAGCCACUUUGCUGUCUUGAAGGUUUACAAAGUUUACAAAGUAUAUAAAGUUUACAAAGGGUGUCCUGGCAGGGAACGUUUUUCCUGCAACUUGAGUGCUGUGAAUAGCCAAAAAAAUCCCUCCUGAGAUAUCUUGGCCUUGAAGCAGGAACCAGCUGAUUUGGCUCUGGGAUCUCCAACUAUCUUUACUUCCAGAGAGGUUUAAUUCCCAGUGCCGGGCAUCCUUGCCUUCAAAUGAGUGCAAACACUUGCAGUCAGGACUUUGUCCAUCCCACCAGCUUACAACAUCUUCCUUCCAAAAUUAGUCGUGAUAACCGUUAUGAAAUCAGUUUCUAGGAGAAUCAGGAUGCACAUAGACUGUUCUCCAAACCUGAACUGCCUCCAUACAACCAUUUCUUCAUUUCCCUUGUCUUUCACUGAAAGCAAACGAUUUCAGCCUUCAAGCACCCCAAGAAAACAUACCUACUAGAAAAACCAGUCUGGGAUGCAGGCAAUUGGUAGACUUGGGCUCAGCCAGUAGGAACAAAGCACAUUUGUGUUGUUAGCAAUUUUGCUGUCUAUAAAUGUGACUUUAGGGGAAUAUUGUUUACUGAUACAAAAUGAUAUUUCCCAGGACUCUUUGAACUGAACUAGUGCCUUUGAGGGGGAAAAUACUAUCUAUGUAUAAGAGAUGGCUCAGUGGUUAACAGCACUCACUGACUGCUCUUCCAGAGGUUCUGAGUUCAAUUCCCAGCAACCACAUGGUGGCUCACAACCAUUUGUAAUGGGAUCUGAUGCCGUCUUCUGGUGUAUCUGAAAACAGCUACAUGUACUUAUGAUAAAUAAAUAAAAUCUUUACGAGGCUGGA